rnacentral:tRNA from 1 species
UGGCUCAGUGGUUAAGAGCACUGACUGCUCUUCCAGAGGUUCUGGGUUCAAAUCCCAG